ensembl:lncRNA
CAGACAAAGCCGAUGGCAGAAGAUGUUUGGAGAAGAACUUCAGGCCGUGGACUGAAAAGUAGAUCAAAGCAGCUCGUGCUCUGUCUGCUUCCAUUCUGAUGGCAAGAAGAAGAAGAAGGAGAAGAAUGCUUCAGCGAAGUGGCGUUCAUGGUCUCAGUGGACAGUCAUGGUCACACACUGCAUGUGGUUUUAAAAGCAACAUUGUUCACCACAACAAUGGAGAUGUGUAAUAUUAGUGCAGCUACGGUUUGUUCUUGAACAUCAGUUCUGUUUUCUACUUUGAUCACUUAGACCAAAAAAAGUGUUGUUUUCAGAUUCUUUCUUUUAAAUCUAUAAAGCACCUGUUCAUUUUUUAUUACAAUUAGUUUCACAUAAAUGUUAGUGUUUCCUUUAUGAUCUUUUAAUGCUUACACUACACUGUACACGUCUACAUUAGAGACAUUUCUGUUACCUAUGUAUGAGACUGGGCUGCUUGACUACAAUUUGGAAAUGGAUGCAAAAUCACACGGAUCGUGCUAUUGUUUGUUUUUUAA